UAGCGUUGUUCGGAAUUACUGGGCGUAAAGCGCACGUAGGCGGCUUUGCAAGUUAGAGGUGAAAGCCCGGGGCUCAACUCCGGAAUUGCCUUUAAAACUGCAUCGCUAGAAUUGUGGAGAGGUAAGUGGAAUUCCGAGUGUAGAGGUGAAAUUCGUAGAUAUUCGGAAGAACACCAGUGGCGAAGGCGACUUACUGGACACAUAUUGACGCUGAGGUGCGAAAGCGUGGGGAGCAAACAGG
rnacentral:rRNA from 1 species